rnacentral:sRNA from 1 species
AUAAAAACAAACAAAAAA